rnacentral:lncRNA from 1 species
CUACAUAUUGUGUUGUUUCUCUCUAUUAGUUAGGAAUGUAAUAACUCACUACAUGUGUGUUGUUUGUGUUUGGAUCCUAUAAUGUUCUCGAACCUUGUGUUCGUGGAAGCAGAUGGUUAGGUGGAUGAUUAUGGAGAACUUCAUGCUAGAGGAUGUUGGGAUAUCAUGCUCUAAUAAGAUGUGACAUUGAGACAUGAGUUUUUGUAUUAAUUACAUGAAGUCCUGGAUAUGUAGUUUUUAUCAUUUUUGUUUCACAUGUUGAAUCUUUAAUUCAUUAUCUGGAGUUUUGGAUGACUUUGUUUUGAG